AAAAAUUUUUUUCUAAUGUUUAUUUUUGAGAGAGGGAGAGAGAGAGUACAAGCUGGGGAGGGGCAGAGAGAGAGAGGAAGACACAGAAUCUGAAGCAGGACCCAGGCUCUGAGCUGUCUGCACAGAGCCUGACUCGGGGCUGGAACUCACCAACCGUGAGAUCAUGACCUGAGACGAAGUCGGACGCUCAACCGACUGAGCCACGCAGGCACCCCAUAAAUAAACUUUUUAAAGAAAAUGAGAUCAUCAGUAUUGAAAUAAAAAUAAUUAUACAGGAAAGCAAUUAUACAUGAACACCUAAGCUAUGCGCCUAAACUCAACUUGCACACUUUAGACAGAAGAGUGCAAAAGUUAAUUACAGGCGAUCUUCGAAUUAGGAAUUCAGACCUAAAAUAAAAUAGUGCCCUAUAAUAACAAAAUGCCACUACUUACAAACAGUUUAUGUCAAUGAAAAGGCGAACAGUCGGGAAUGUAGACAGAUACAUGCUUCCUUAGGUUUCUUACCCAAGUGCACUCAACAGGAACAGGAACAAUAGGCCACCCAGUGGUAGCUAAGGGCAUUACCUCUGUCUCUCUGUCUCUCUGUAUCUCUCUUUCUCACACACACACAAUGCAGAAAGUUUCACAAUUAUCAUGGUAUAUAAUAAGGACACAAUUUUGAGAAAGAUAAUUUAUUCCUUUCCCUCUUUUUGAGGCGUGACUUACACAUAUCUUUAAGGGUUCAACUGGCUUAAUUUUUACAUAUGUUACAUACGCAUAAAUUUAACUACCACCCAGGUUAACCUAUAAAACAUUCCCAGCUCCUCAGAAGUCUCUCUUUUACCCUCCCUCUCACAACCCCCAAAAGGUAAUCAUUAUUCUACCUGUCAUUAUGCAUGUAUUUAGUUUAGUCUGUUUUUUGAACUCAUACAUGAAAUCACAGAGUAUAUAUUCUUUUUACGUCUGACUUCUUUUGUUUAACAUCACAUCUGUCAGAUUCACUCAUAUUGCUGUUUGUUGCAAUAAUCUGUUCUCAUUGCUAUUAUUAUUGCCAAUAUUGUUAGUAUGCUAGUAUUCUAGUAUAGAUAUAUACAUAUACGGUUGAUAUGUUCUACUGUUGGUAAACUUUUGGGUUAUUUUUUAGUUGGGGUUAUUAUGAAUAAAUCUGUUACUAACAUUUUCAUACGUGUCUUUUGGCAAAAGUAAGCAUUCAUUUUUGUUGAGUACGUCUCCAGGAUUAAAAUCACUGAUUCAUAAACUGGGCCAGCUACAUAAUCUGCAGGGCUCAGUGCAAAAUGAAAAUGCAAGGCUUCUUGCUUAAAAGGGCAAGUUCUGGUUCUGGUGGAAACGAGGCUCCUUGGGGAAGUCAGCAGCACCCAUACACCCUGUACUCCUUUGAGUGACCGCUCAGGCGUGGGCUGCGCAGAAUUUGGUGCUCGCGGGCAUGGUGUUAUGCUGUAGGUGACUGAGGCAGCAAAGAACAAUGGCAGACCCACAGGCUAUAGCUACCUCCCUGCUCAGCUCUUGGAUUGGUUUGUUAGUGCUGCCGUCACAAAGGAUACGUGGCCAGUACUCCUUAAGACCGCCAUGGUCAUGCAAAACACAGAAAAAUUGAGAAAAUAUCACAGACCAGAGGAGACUGAGGAAACAUGUCAACAUGGUACCCUACAUUGGAUCCUGGAACAGCAAUGGAAAGAAAAUCAGAGAAAUCCAAAUACAGUCUGAAGUUUACUGAACAGUAAUAUGCCAGUGUGACUUGCUUAGUUUAGAAAAUUUACUGUGGUAAUGUAACUGGGUGAGAAGUAUGCAAAUUCCUUGUACUGCCUUUGCAAAUUUUCUGUACAA